rnacentral:hammerhead_ribozyme from 1 species
AUCCAGCUGACGUGUCCCGAAUAGGACGAAACGUGCGUCCUGGAU